CUCGCGCGCGCUUCCGCCUGGAUCCUAGCAACACUGUAGUGACGCGCCAGGCCCCGCCCCUCCCGCGCGCGCCUCCCGGAAGUAGCCGGCUGGGAGCUUGAGCGCCGCUCGCCUCGCGGUCCCGGUUUGCAGCCCCUGGGCGAGGGCGUCAAGCGGCCGGCGGGGGACGGUGCUGUGGGCUCCUUCACGUGCGGACUUCCGACCGAGGCCUGGAGACGAUGGCGGGGCCGCCACCGCUGGCGCUGCAGCUGGAACAGUUGUUGAACCCGCGGCCGCGCGAGGCGGACCCUGAGGCCGACCCGGAGGAGGAUACUGCUGCCAGAGUGAUUGACAGGUUUGAGGAAGGGGAAGAUGGAGCAGGUGAUUUCCUGGCAGUGGGCAGCAUUAGGAAAUUGGCAUCCGCCUCCCUCUGGGACACGGACAAAAGGUAUUCUGGCAGAACCACCUCUAGAAAAGCGUGGAAGGAGGACCCUUGGGAGAAGACACUGCCAGGUUCAUCUGACAAGGAGCUAUCUGAUGAGGAAGGAUCUGGAGGUGACGACUCCGAGGACUAUGCUGAAGAUGGAAGUGCUGCCAGUGAAGAGCAGGAGGAGGAGGAGGAGGAGCAGGACACUUUGGCUGGGAGGAGGAAAGGCGGGAGCCACUGUGCCAACACGGCAGGCUUCCACGUCCAGAGCAUCAGUGACUUCGAGAGCUUUACCGAGGGAAUGGAUGACGUUGGAAGCAGUGAGGAGGAGGAAGAUGAAGACGAAGAGAGCGGCAUGGAGGAAGGGGAUGAGGAGGAAGACUUGGAGCAUGAAAGUGAGGAAGACGCGGCUGGAGACAGGAACAGUGAGGAUGAUGGCGUGGUGAUGACCUUCUCCGGUGGCAAAGUUUCCGAGGAAGUGGAGAAAGGACGAGCUGUGAAGAACCAGAUAGCCCUGUGGGAUCAGCUCUUGGAAGGAAGGAUCAAACUGCAGAAAGCUCUGUUGACCACCAAUCAGCUGCCUCAACCAGAUGUUUUCCCUGCUUUCAAGGACAAAGGUGGUCCAGAAUUUGCCAGUGCCCUAAAAAACAGUCACAAGGCCCUUAAAGCAUUGUUGAGGUCAUUGGUGGAUCUUCAGGAGGAGUUGCUCCGUCAGUACCCUGACACUAGGUACCUGGUAGAUGGGACCAAACCUGAAGCAGAAAGUGAGGAGAUUUCCAGUGAAGAUGAUGAGGUGGUAGAAGAGAAGAAGAAACAGAGAAGGGCCCCACGGAAGAGGAAGCUGCAGAUGGAUGACUAUCCCAGCUUCAUGGCAAAGCGCUUUGCUGAUUUCACUGUCUACAGGAACCGCACACUUCAGAAAUGGCAUGAUAAGACCAAGUUGGCCUCUGGAAAACUUGGGAAGGGUUUUGGUGCCUUUGAACGCUCGAUCUUGACUCAGAUUGAUCAUAUUCUGAUGGACAAAGAAAGAUUACUUCGAAGGACACAGACCAAGCGCUCUGUCUACCGAGUUCUUGGCAAACCUGAACUGGCAUCUCAGCCUGUCCCGGAGAGUUUGCCCGGGGAACCGGAGGUCCUUCCUGAAGCCCCUGCCAACGCUCACCUGAAGGAUUUGGAUGAAGAGAUCUUUGAUGAUGAUGACUUUUACCACCAGAACCUUCUGAAAGAAGGACUGAAUAAAUGAAUCAUAGAAAAGUCCCUAUCAUGAAUGGCCAAGAAUAACCAUACAAAGCAGCUGGGCAGUGAGAAUGCAGCCCAGGAUCCGUGUGGUGCUCAGAGCACUCGAAAGUAAGCGAUUCAAUACUUGGCGUUAGAACUGCAGAGACCACUGCAAGUGCGAUAACCGUGCUGCGGUGGCAGAGCCCUUUGCCAUCUUUGGCAAGGACGUGUGGCGCUCUCUUCCGCAAGUUGACCCCGUUGUACCGGGGCUGUCUUCCAUGAGCACUUGCUCCCCAGUGAUCGUGCCGUCCCAACGUAAGGGUUCAGAGAUGAUUAGGAAAAGCAGGAAUGGUUUUAACUGCCCAUGAGGCUGGGACAAGCUCCUCCGAGAACUCAUAGAGCGGAAGACCAGCUCCUUGGAUCCCAAUGAUCAGGUGGCCAUGGGAAGGCAGUGGCUUGCCAUCCAGAAGUUACGAAGCAAAAUCCACAAGAAAGUAGAUAGGAAAG